GAUGAACGCUGGCGGUAUGCUUAACACAUGCAAGUCGAACGGACUCUUCGGAGUUAGUGGCGGACGGGUGAGUAACGCGUGAGAAUCUGGCUUUGGGUUCGGGACAACCACUGGAAACGGUGGCUAAUACCGGAUGUGCCGAGAGGUAAAAGAGAAAUUGCCUGAAGAUGAGCUCGCGUCUGAUUAGCUAGUUGGUGAGGUAAAGGCUCACCAAGGCAGCGAUCAGUAGCUGGUCUGAGAGGAUGACCAGCCACACUGGGACUGAGACACGGCCCAGACUCCUACGGGAGGCAGCAGUGGGGAAUUUUCCGCAAUGGGCGAAAGCCUGACGGAGCAAUACCGCGUGAGGGAAGAAGGCUCUUGGGUUGUAAACCUCUUUUCUUAGGAAAGAACAAAAUGACGGUACCUAAGGAAUCAGCAUCGGCUAACUCCGUG
rnacentral:rRNA from 1 species